rnacentral:lncRNA from 1 species
CUGCAUUGGAACUUGUGCAUGACAUAAUAGUGUUUCAUAGCGGUUGAAAUUAUUUUUUUGUCUUGAUACACUUGUCCUUCUUCUAUAACACUCUGUGUACCUCUUAUUAUUUCACUUUGAUAUUCUUCUAUGACGGGAGAGGUUGGCAUAUCAAGUAACUGUAUUGUCCCAGGCGAACCUGCAUGAAAAUAAAGAUAAACAGUGUUAUUACAAUUUUGUAGAAUCUUUAUAAAUAAAUUGUAGAUGAAUAGAAAAUUUUGUAGUCAAUAUUUUUUCAAAGUGGAAUGUAGUUUAAUUGUAGUAUAAAUGUAGUAAUUUUGUAGAUAAUUAUGAAAAAAAUAUUGCCUUAUAUAUCCUAAAACUGAUGUGUAGUUUAUUAGUAGAUAAAUGUAUAAAUUCUAUAGAUAUAACUGUAAAAUCAGACUUCUAUAAAAUUUGAAACAUAAUAAACCUGCACUUGUGUUCUCAUUUGUAAUAGUCAAUUCCAUAUUAAAAUCUCGUACACUUAUAAGUAUCGGAUACGAUCAUAACUUUAUUAUUCUCCUUUUUUGUCUCCAUAUACACACGAACUCACAUAUUGUUCCUAAUCUCCAUUAGAGGACAAUUCUCAUUCACAAUGUAUUUGAUUUCUACAAAAAAAAAUCGAAAUAUCAAUCAUUAAUUGCAGAAAUCAACAUACUGUAACAUGCAUCCUCAUCGAGCACAAUGCUAUCAACUUGAAAAUCUCUAAAUCUGCCAUAGCUAUCCCUAUUCCCAUUAAAAUAUAGCAUGACUGGGAUUUUGGACAUGAUUGUGUGUCGUUGCUGACACGUUGUUUAAUAUUUCGUCGCUUUUUGAUUUUUUGGAUUAAGAAAAAAAGACAAAGAACAUAGAAUCGGCAAAUGAUUCCUAUAAUUUAACUUGAAUUUGUUGAAUAUUUUAUCGCUUUUUUGAUUAGCGGAUUGAGGAAAAAAAUCAACGAACUGAGCUUUUGCAGAACUGAUUUCUACAAUUUAAUUCGAAUUUGGUGACAAUUUUGUCUUUUUUGGAUUUGUGGAUUUAGAAAAAAUAUCGAAGAACAUAGUUUUUACAGAAAAAAAUCUAUGUAAUUUGAUUUUAAAUUGAAGAUAAAGGAUUCCCGUUUCAAAUUUGAUCUAAAAGACACUAAAUCAAUUAGAAUAUUCUGUUCCUGAAUUUUAACGCAUCUAAUUAGGAAGAUUCAGCUACUUAUAAUUAGUAUUUAAUGAAUGAUAUAAUAAUUGUAGAAAAGUGUGAACUUGGCAGGUAAAUUAAAAACCAUGCACAUAUUUGAUAAUAAAGUUUCAUAUAUUGUAUAAAAAAAAAAAAUCUCAUUCAUGAACCAAUGUAGUCUCAAAUGAGGCUCUUCUUUUUAUACUAGGCCGGGAUGGCCUGUGCCAGAAUUAUAGUAUUAUACUCCAAAAAAAUCAUGAUCGUAGUGUAGUUGAACUUUGUCUAUGUAAAGUUUACUUUUAUAUCCUUCUCAAAAAUAAUAAUUCUGAUUGUUCUUGUGGUGGUAGUAUUCAAUCUACAAUGAUACUAUCAGAUAUACUUAAGUAUACUGGCACUGUCUAACUCCCAAAUUUAUCUUACGGCAGAUUACAAAGGAACAUGUAAAAUUAAUAUGAGAAAUACUAUUAAAAAAACCUUUGUAUUUCAAAUCACCGCUCCUACAAAUCAAGACAAUUCCUGGUCAUAGCCAUGAUACUCCUUCAGGACUCACGACAUUAAUCUAAUUUCAUACUCAUGUCAUUAUAAAUCUGUAGUGGUAUACUCUAGAAACCAUGGAGGUUUGAGCUUACCAUCUUCUUUGCAAUUCUCUUCCGUUCCUUGUACAAUAAUCAAAGUAUGCUGACUAAAAAGUCAAGAAAGUUGGACAAAAGAGAUUAUCAACCAGCAAAAUGAAAUCAACAAAAAGUGAAAAAAAGAGGUCAAUGAGAAACUUUGAAUAUGUCUUAUCAAUGGGAAAGGCCAUUAUGCUUAUACAUAACAAUUUUGGAUCCAAUGGUCGGUGCACUAUUUUCAGUCUGUAAAAUACUCUAUAGUUCUUCUAUUUGCUAUACUUUAGCUUCCACAACAUCCGAAGUAUGAUAAAACACUCCAGAAACAAAAGAGAUACAAAAUGCAAGUCCCACAAAUCAGAAUAAAGAAUUUCAACAAGAGCAUUAAAUAUCCUUUAUGUGCAAGGAGAAAACAAAGAAACGACAAGUCAUUACAGAAAUCAUUUAUGUUAGCAAAAGAAACAAAGACACAUACCUUUUUCAAGUCAGCUAACAUUAAAGAACUUACACGUAUUCAUAUGAUCAAAGCUCGUCCUUAAUUGGCAAAAGCCCUUCACUUCAGAAUAAUCAAUAAGGUCUGAUGCCAUCUGUGCUUCUUCUGACUAUUGAAAGUGAACGUUAAAGUUUUGAAGCUAAUCUUCAAGCAUUCCUUUCCUGUAAAAUCAGCAAAUCAUAUGUAAUUUUUCUUCCCAAAUAACCUGCACAAAUGUCAUUUGCAUGGACCAAAUACCUGCAGCAAAUCAACAUUUGAACCUCAUCAGAUAUGACUACAAAUUCCUUAAAAAUGCACUAAUUAAAAAUGCACUAACUGAUGGCUUCAUUUUCCACAAAAAUUCACAUCUAUCUUUUGACAACUAAAACUUCCCACAAAUUUUCAGUGUACAACUAAAGAAUUUAAUCUAUUCACUAAUUUACACACUCAGGUCAAUUAUAAAGUAAUUAUAACUUAUGCUAUGACCAACAUUAAUUGGUAACUCGAUAAAAAUUAAUAACUCAUUAAUUUAUUUUACACAAUUAGUAUAUAUAACUUAAAUUUGUAAGAAAUAGAUUAAUGAAGAGAAGAGUAACAUAGUUAACUGAAGGUUCCAACGUCAGAGUAUGAAAGGGAACCAAAGUCAUUAGUAAGGGAAUUCUCGAGUAUAAUAACAAGAGCCACAACACAAAGCCCCGUGGAUAGCAAACACAGCAUAGUCUCAGCCGUUCACAUGCUGCUGCUGCUUCCAUUUUCAUCUUCAAACUCUCGUGAUCCUUUCUGUAGAGGAGUGCUUCCGGCCAAUUUUUUUGUCUUUAAUCCUCCAUCUUUGGAAUGAAUAUUCUACUCUCCUCCUUUUGUGUUUUCAUUACAGUACAAAAGAGAUUAUUGCAAAGGAGAAAGUAAAGGGAGAUAUGAUGAGUGAUAGAUAGCCUCUACUUAUUAAUAAUGAACUUCGCUAAGGAGUUGAGUAGUUGGGAAAGACACUAAAUAUCUCCAUAAAAAACACAAAGAGAUUGACACCAUUUUGCAAGACUGAAAAGUGUCAUAUAUUUCUAACAUCCAAUUAAAAUCCUAGUGUAUGAUAUAUACUCAAAUAGGUUAGCUGACACAUUUCAUAUAAAUGAUACUACUCAUAAAGUGAUACGCACAAGUAUUAUUUGUUUAAAAGAAUGAGAAGUUCUUCUAACUAUUGGCAAUAAUUACUGCAAACCCAAUCUUUCUUGCAGUUUGAUUGAACAUUAAGCAUACCUUGCUACAGAAAAUUACAAGGGUGACAAUAUCGUUGUCAUAGAAAAAAUCCUUGCCCUUUUCUUAGUUUAGAAAUAAAAUAAUUUGAUACUUGAUACCAAGCACCAUACAAAAAAAUUAAUUAUUCCACUCUUGUGAUAUCAAUACGAGAAAUGGGAGCAUUGUAUGCUGAUUCUUCAGGUUCUGGAACUCCAAUAACAGAGCAUGAAGACAUACAAAGACAAACCAGUUGCAGUCAAAACUAUCAUUUUUCACCAGAUCUUAGCUCAGCGCAAAAUAAUACUUAUAUAAUUAUGUAGAGAGCAUACGACGGCGUACACAGAAAUUAUCCAUCCUACAUAAGUACUCCAAAAACAACUGAUCUUAGAUUCCAUCUUGCACGCAAUUUAGCUGGGUAAUGAAAAUUAUAAAAGAAUAUGACAAAAAGAAAGAGCUACCAACACAAUUUAGGAACUGAACUUGAAAGCUUAGGUGUUAAAAAGCCGUCAAAGCGUCAAAAAACCACCACUGCUUUUUUCUUUUUCUUCCUUUUAGGUAAAGAACAACUACAAAGAAAACACAAACACAUGAAAAAGUGAAAUUUUUCAUCAAAUGCGAAGAGUAUAAGUUGCAAAGUCAGAGUGCGACAUUCAAUCGAGGGAGCAGCUUCACUAUAAAUAUUGAGAAUGUGAUGUUCUUGAACUAAAUUGAUGAAGCAUCCCACCAGCAAGGGACGCAAUAGCAGAAGGCGGAUUCCGAGUUUCGACUAAUUCCGCUAUUCAAUCCCAAGGCAAUGAUGAAAGCAAUUUUGUAGAUUCAAUGUCAAAAUCAAAUAACAUAAGUGUUGUAUGAAAACAAUUUCCACCUUCGAAUCGAUGUACAAAGUUAAUAACCCAUCAAAAACUAAACUAUCCACCGAAUGGAAAAAUCCAUACCAUCAAUUAAAAAAUCACGUUAAAAUAGAACCAAAAGGAAAACAAUGAAAAGCAAAAUCGCCUGGCAUCCAAAUAGCAUAACUCAAGCCAAGUAACCGAAGAAAAGAGAAAAUAAAGUUGAGAGAGUAAUCGAAAGCAAGUGUUGUACCUUAUAGAGUUGGCGGAGAAGCGAGAAAUAUCGUCCACUAAGCAGUAAUCUUACCGCUCGGUACUACAGAGCAAGCGAACGCGGGUUGGAGGAAGAGGAGGCGAAAAGCGGUGUAGGUUCGGCGGUCCGGCCAAAUGACGAACCCAAAAUGUGCUUUGAUGGUAGAGGCGUAUACUUUAGUCCGUGAAAUGUC